UCUGUGGUGGAGUCGUCCAAAAAAUUGUGACAGGGAGAGUGGCUCGCAAAAAUUUUCAUUAAUUUAUAUUUUAAUAAUUAAUGUAACGUGAAACGUCUGAAUAAUUCUAAUGAACUAUUUAUAAGAAUAAUUUGGUGCAUAACAUGGUCUAUUCAUUAUAAAUGCACUUACGCGAAUCGAAGCUGUCCGGGAGUAUUGACGUUUCGUAGUCUACAGGGACAGGCUUUCAAAUGUCUGUUUGUGUCGGGCUGUAUUAAGUGGGUGUGCGGCGUUACGGACGUACAGUUUAUUUAGACCAUUAAUUAAAUAAGUAUUAGUGAAAAGUGCAUUAGUGUUGUUAUUAAUUAAAUAUGUGGUUAAUAUUAGCACUGAUGUGGCAAACCGGAUCGCACCUAGAUGGUGAAAACGUGACUCCGUUAUAAGAUGGGAAAGCGCGCGCGGCGAGCGGGCGUCCGCGCGGCGUCGUAUAACGCGCGGUGCGCGACGCUUGCACCAUACACCGGGUCCACACUUGCAGCGUAGAUUGGAUUGAAGCGGCCGUACCCGGCUAGUAUGGAGGAGUG